rnacentral:lncRNA from 1 species
AGGUUUCCUGUGGCUUGGGGCUCCGCCCGGUAUGGGGAAAGUUUAAGGCGGAAGAGCCCUCGUUUGUCGGCUGCUUGGGAAGUCUGAGGAUUACUGGGACUAACAGGACUUCAGCUGGGGCUUCAACGUGUGGUGUGGGCUUCCUGACACCACGGCCACUGGUUUCCAAGAGUUUCAACAAUAUUUUCAUCAUAUUUAUUGAAGGCCUCACUGACAGACUUCUCAAGGCCCCUCUACCUUCUAUUCGCUGCCUGGCCCCAAAGCCAGUGCCACACAUUUUAGGUUUUUAACUGCAGCAGCACCUAUGAUGUUUCCAAAAUCUGUAUCAUUAAAGUUUGAUCAGAGAAGCAAAACCACCUUGAGCAAAACAAGGAAUUUAUUAAAGAGAUUAGGAUACACAUUGUUAUGAAAGCUGCAACCUGCUGCCCCUGUGUCCAGAAGUGGGCCUGAAGUCAGCAGGGCUGGCAAAUGGAUGUGCAGUGGGAGAGAGUAGGCGUGAGCUGCACCUGCAGGGAGGAGAUGGAACUCCUGUGGAUGGACUGAAACUGAUGUCUUCCACGUCAGCCUCUCAGGCCUCCAACACUCCAGCGCUGAUGAUGAAGAUGACCUGCAGAGGAGCUGGUGCCCUUCACCAUGGAAUUGCUCAUAAACCCAAGAUUCAGUGAAGCUGAAGAAGCAGUUCUGGUGGGAGCUGGAGGAACUGCAGGCACAGCUGCUGCCCUGUACCAAUACAUUGAGCCAGUGGCUGCCUGGCAUUGUGUGUGAGCCACCACAGCGCCUGGCCCUACACAGACUUUGACUGUAAAUAUGACUGCUGUUUCACUUCUGCCUUCCAAAUUUUGCUCAGAUUUUCUGAGAAACAUAGUUCAGCUUAGGUACAUUGACACAGUACAAAGCCACCGCAGUGGCUGGUUAGGGAGGGAUUAUGAAUGCAGGCUGAGAAUGCACGGGAAGCGUUUGUCUAUUUAUAGAGUAGGUACCAUUCAAGGAUUUAUGUGAAUCAGGUGCAAAGAACUCACACAAAGAUGGGGAAAGUUAGUACUUAGAAAUCAGUGAUACUAGAUAACCAAUAAAUAAAAAUAAACUUAAAAAAAAAAA